ensembl:lncRNA novel transcript
AGAUGCAGGGCAGAGCCACGUGAGGCUCAGGAGGGUGUAAGGAAGCUGUUUUGACCCAAAACAAGAAGAGAAGACUGGAACCCAGACAAAAGGGCCUUGGUCCUCAUGGGAGAAAGGAACUGAGAUGUGACAUUGGCCCUUGGAGCAGAGGCCACAGGCCCUGCUCUGCCCUUGAGGAGCUGCCAGUGGACUGUCAAGGCGAUAAGUGCCAUGCACAAGAACAAGGAACUAUGGGGGCCCAGGAGAGAUGGCCACAGACCACAGACUGGUACCGAUACAUGGUCCCGGGGUUGGAGACCCCUGGGCUACUCCACAAACACUGAAUGACAUCGGCACAAACAGCAGGGUUUGGGGGCUCCUCUCCGAGGGCAAACAUCAGCAGAAGCUGCAAGCUGUCAUCCCUGACUUGACAUCCAGCUUGGUCGUCAUGAAGGUGCCAGACAUUUCUUGGUAGUGGAUUGUAAUCAUUUCCUGGGAUGACCAUGACAAAGUACCAGACUGUGUGACUUCCACAACAGAAAUAUAUUUUCUCACCAUUCUGAAGGCUGGACGUCUGAGAUCAGGGUGUCAACUUCUU